rnacentral:rRNA from 1 species
UACGUAGGGUGCAAGCGUUAAUCGGAAUUACUGGGCGUAAAGCGUGCGCAGGCGGUUGUGCAAGACAGAUGUGAGAUCCCCGGGCUCAACCUGGGAACUGCAUUUGUGACUGCACGGCUGGAGUGCGGCAGAGGGGGAUGGAAUUCCGCGUGUAGCAGUGAAAUGCGUAGAUAUGCGGAGGAACACCGAUGGCGAAGGCAAUCCCCUGGGCCUGCACUGACGCUCAUGCACGAAAGCGUGGGGAGCAAACAGG